GAAAUGCGAUACGUAGUGUGAAUUGCAGAAUUCAGUGAAUCAUCGAAUCUUUGAACGCACAUUGCGCCCUUUGGUAUUCCAAAGGGCAUGCUUGUUCGAGCGUCAUUUGUACCCUCAAGCUUUGCUUGGUGUUGGGCGUUUUUUGUCUUUGGCUCGCCCAAAGACUCGCCUUAAAACGAUUGGCAGCCGGCCUACUGGUUUCGCAGCGCAGCACAUUUUUGCGCUUGCAAUCAGCAAAAGAGGACGGCAAUCCAUCAAGACUCCUUCUCACGUUUGACCUCGGAUCAGGUAGGGAUACCCGCUGAACUUAAGC
rnacentral:misc_RNA from 1 species